GAUGACCCAUCCUGAAAGAAGAAAAGAGAAAUAUUGUAAUGAAUCCACCUUCUCCAGGCAGGGUUUCUGUUCCCCCUGGAAAAGAUACAAAUGAAAAGAAAUGUUGGAGAUGCUGAACGUUCCUGUUGACCUUGCCAGCACUGGAAUAGCUAUGACUGGAGAGGUGCCUGCCUAAAAUGAACUGGGGUGCAUGGUGGAACCAGAGCAGCCACAGAAGCAUGAAUAUCCCAGAUGAGAAGAUGCCCUUGCCUGUCCCUGUUCAAGCAGUCUGAGGCAUUUCUGUUGUGUAGAGUGGAAGGAUAUCUGAAAAGUGCUUGUGCAAAUUCAUGGUGGGGGCCAUUAAUCAAGUGACAACUCAGAUGCAUCAAGAUGCAACUCUUCUGCAUCAAGAACCCUCGGGCCUGCGGCUGUUGCAGCUCUCUUUCUUGGGAGACUCAAUGAA